rnacentral:rRNA from 1 species
GACGAACCGUGCGAACGUUAUUCGGAAUCACUGGGCUUAAAGGGCGCGUAGGCGGGUUCUCAAGUCAGGGGUGAAAUCCCGCGGCUCAACCGUGGAAGUGCCUUUGAUACUGGGGACCUCGAGGGAGGUAGGGGCGUGCGGAACUUCCGGUGGAGCGGUGAAAUGCGCAGAUAUCAGGAGGAACACCAAUGGCGAAGGCAGCUCGCUGGAACGGUACUGACGCUGAGGCGCGAAAGCGUGGGGAGCGAACAGG